rnacentral:tRNA from 1 species
GCCUCUUUAGCUCAGUGGUUAGAGCAUCGGUCUUAUACGCCGGUUGUCGUGAGUUCGAUUCUCACAAGAGGUA